UACAGAGGGGGCAAGCGUUGUUCGGAAUUACUGGGCGUAAAGGGCGCGUAGGCGGCCCGCUAAGUCGAACGUGAAAUCCCCGGGCUCAACCCGGGAACUGCGUCCGAUACUGGUGGGCUUGAAUCCGGGAGAGGGAUGCGGAAUUCCAGGUGUAGCGGUGAAAUGCGUAGAUAUCGCUUGGAACGCCAAAGGUGAAAACAGGUAGCUGGGGGUGUGCUGACACUGAGACACGAAAGCCAGGGGAGCAAACGGG
rnacentral:rRNA from 1 species